rnacentral:rRNA from 1 species
GAUCAUGGCUCAGGAUGAACGCUAGCUACAGGCUUAACACAUGCAAGUCGAGGGGCAGCAUGAACUUAGCUUGCUAAGUUUGAUGGCGACCGGCGCACGGGUGAGUAACACGUAUCCAACCUGCCGAUGACUCGGGGAUAGCCUUUCGAAAGAAAGAUUAAUACCCGAUGGCAUAGUUCUUCCGCAUGGUAGAACUAUUAAAGUAAAUUUACGGUUCAUCGAUGGGGAGUGCGUUCCU